rnacentral:rRNA from 1 species
UGAUCCUGGCUCAGGAUGAACGCUGGCGGCGUGCCUAAUACAUGCAAGUCGAGCGAACAGAUAAGGAGCUUGCUCCUUUGACGUUAGCGGCGGACGGGUGAGUAACACGUGGGUAACCUACCUAUAAGACUGGAAUAACUCCGGGAAACCGGGGCUAAUGCCGGAUAACAUGUUGAACCGCAUGGUUCUACAGUGAAAGACGGUCUUGCUGUCACUUAUAGAUGGACCCGCGCCGUAUUAGCUAGUUGGUGGGGUAACGGCCUACCAAGGCGACGAUACGUAGCCGACCUGAGAGGGUGAUCGGCCACACUGGAACUGAGACACGGUCCAGACUCCUACGGGAGGCAGCAGUAGGGAAUCUUCCGCAAUGGGCGAAAGCCUGACGGAGCAACGCCGCGUGAGUGAUGAAGGUCUUCGGAUCGUAAAGCUCUGUUGUUAGGGAAGAACAAAUGUGUAAGUAACUGUGCACAUCUUGACGGUACCUAACCAGAAAGCCACGGCUAACUACGUGCCAGCAGCCGCGGUAAUACGUAGGUGGCAAGCGUUAUCCGGAAUUAUUGGGCGUAAAGCGCGCGUAGGCGGUUUUUUAAGUCUGAUGU